UGGGGAAUAUUGCACAAUGGGCGCAAGCCUGAUGCAGCCAUGCCGCGUGUGUGAAGAAGGCCUUCGGGUUGUAAAGCACUUUCAGCGAGGAGGAAGGUGGUGAACUUAAUACGUUCAUCAAUUGACGUUACUCGCAGAAGAAGCACCGGCUAACUCCGUGCCAGCAGCCGCGGUAAUACGGAGGGUGCAAGCGUUAAUCGGAAUUACUGGGCGUAAAGCGCACGCAGGCGGUUUGUUAAGUCAGAUGUGAAAUCCCCGGGCUCAACCUGGGAACUGCAUUUGAAACUGGCAAGCUAGAGUCUCGUAGAGGGGGGUAGAAUUCCAGGUGUAGCGGUGAAAUGCGUAGAGAUCUGGAGGAAUACCGGUGGCGAAGGCGGCCCCCCUGGACGAAGACUGACGCUCAGGUGCGAAAGCGUGGGGAGCAAACAGAUUAGNUACCCUGGUAGUCCACGCUGUAAAACGAUGUCGAUUUUGGA
rnacentral:rRNA from 1 species